GACGUAGGGCGCGAGCGUUGUCCGGAUUUAUUGGGCGUAAAGAGCUCGUAGGCGGCUUGUCGCGUCGUUCGUGAAAACUCACAGCUCAACUGUGAGCUUGCGGUCGAUACGGGCAGGCUAGAGUUCGGUAGGGGAGAUUGGAAUUCCUGGUGUAGCGGUGAAAUGCGCAGAUAUCAGGAGGAACACCGGUGGCGAAGGCGGGUCUCUGGGCCGAUACUGACGCUGAGGAGCGAAAGCGUGGGGAGCGAACAGG
rnacentral:rRNA from 1 species